GACGAACGCUGGCGGCGUGCUUAACACAUGCAAGUCGAACGGAAAGGCCCUGCUUUUGUGGGGUGCUCGAGUGGCGAACGGGUGAGUAACACGUGAGUAACCUGCCCUUGACUUUGGGAUAACUUCAGGAAACUGGGGCUAAUACCGGAUAGGAGCUCCUGCUGCAUGGUGGGGGUUGGAAAGUUUCGGCGGUUGGGGAUGGACUCGCGGCUUAUCAGCUUGUUGGUGGGGUAGUGGCUUACCAAGGCUUUGACGGGUAGCCGGCCUGAGAGGGUGACCGGCCACAUUAGGACUGAGAUACGGCCCAGACUCCUACGGGAGGCAGCAGUGGGGAAGAUUGCACAAUGGGCGGAGGCCUGAUGCAGCAACGCCGCGUGCGGGAUGACGGCCUUCGGGUUGGAAACCGCUUUCGCCUGUGACGAAGCGUGAGUGACGGUAAUGGGUAAAGAAGCACCGGCUAACUACGUG
rnacentral:rRNA from 1 species